GACGAGCGUUCCCUGCGAUGACCUCAUCCCUGGUGUGGGAUGACGUCAAAUUCAAGAUGGAUGGAAUCACGGCGGUGGCAGCAGCGCGCGCGGGCGAAUCGUGAAGGGAGGCGCCGAGGGGGGCAGCAGGGUGGGGUGCGGCUAACGGCGGAGAGGAUAAAUCCAAAUCAUGGAGGGGCUCUUGCAUUACAUAAACCCAGCACAUGCCAUUUCUCUCUUAAGUGCUUUGAAUGAGGAACGUCUAAAAGGACAGCUAUGCGAUGUUAUUCUUAUAGUGGGAGACCAAAAAUUUAGAGCUCAUAAAAAUGUUCUGGCUGCCAGCAGUGAAUACUUCCAGACUCUCUUCACAAAUAAAGAGAAUGAGUCCCAAUCAGUGUUUCAACUUGACUUCUGUGAACCAGAUGCUUUUGAGAAUGUAUUAAACUACAUUUACUCUUCGUCUUUGUUUGUUGAGAAAAGCAGUCUUGCGGCUGUUCAAGAAUUGGGCUACAGCCUUGGAAUUUCCUUUCUUACCAACAUUGUUUCUAAGAGUCCUCAAGCUCCUUUUCCAGCAUGUCCCAUUAAAAAAAUACUGUUUCAAGAAGAAGAUGAAAGCGGUUCUCAGAAGAGAAGUGUCAUUGUUUGUCAGAGCAGAAAUGAAGCACAAGUUAAAAAUGUCAGUCAAACACAUGAUUUAAGCCAUAGCUCUAAGCCUUCACACUCCAUUGCCAUCAAAACAAACAAUAGGCCACAAGUAACAAAACCAAUUGAACCACUUCACAGUUUAUCAUUAAGUGACAGGAGGUGGCUAAAAGACAGUCCUGUGAGCUACACCAAACUUCAUGAACCUUCUGGAACUGUGGAUGACCAAAGUAGAAGUGGCUUGGUAAAGAGGAAUGCAGUAUUGCCACAAAAGCCUUUAGCUGAGAAAGAAACUUCAUGUGAUGAGCCAGGAGUGAGUGGUCAGCUUCUAAGAGGAAAAGCUGCAGAGAUGUCAUUAAAAAGACCACGUCCUCCAAUCUUAUCUCUGCAUGGUUCAUCAGAAUCUACAUUUUUGUUGCGAGAGACAGGAAAAGGAAAUGGUCAAGGAGAAGAUAGGAAUUUGCUAUACUACUCAAAAUUAGGACUAGUGGUUCCAUCUAGUGGAUCUGGUCCUGAAAACCAAAGUAUUGACCGGAGUGGCCCACUUGUAAAAAGUCUCCUUCGAAGGUCAUUGUCCAUGGAUAGUCAGGUUCCUAUUUAUUCAUCUUCUAUUGAUUUAAAAGCUUCACAUGGACCAUCAUUGGUGACUAGUGACUCACAGGGAAAAACAUUUAAUGUUACAUCUCAAAAGUCAUCCUUGAAAGAGUCUUCAGAAAAGGCUGUCCUAGAUGACAAGACACAGGUAAUACACCCACACCGCCUUAGGUCCUUUAGUGCCUCUCAGUCAACUGAUAGGGAGGUAGCUUCUCCUCUAACUGAUGUACGAAUCAAAACUGAACCUAGCAGCCCACUUUCAGAGCCUUCUGAAAUAAUAAGAGUUACAGUAGGAGAUGCUUCAACAUCUGCCAGUAAAGACUUCCCUUUUAAAACUGAGGAUGAUAAUAGGGAUAUGAGUAGACUUCCAGCAAAAAGGAGGUUUCAAGCAGAUAGAAGGCUACCAUUUAAAAAACUGAAAGUGAAUGAGCAUGGUUCUCCUGGGUCAGAGGAUAAUUUUGAGGAAAGUUCAAGUCCUACGCGUCUUGAUGCUGAUUUUCCAGAUUCUGAUGUCAGUAAAGAUGAAUACAGUGAAUUGGAAGAAGUGAGACCAAACAAAAAGUUUAAAUGCAAGCACUGCCUUAAGAUUUUCAGAUCUACAGCAGGCCUUCACCGUCAUGUUAAUAUGUAUCAUAAUCCAGAGAAACCAUAUGCUUGUGAUAUAUGCCACAAGAGAUUUCAUACGAACUUCAAAGUAUGGACUCAUUGCCAGACACAGCAUGGAAUUGUGAAGAACCCCUCACCUGCUUCCAGUUCACAUGCUGUCUUGGAUGAAAAAUUCCAAAGAAAAUUAAUUGAUAUUGUGAGAGAGAGAGAGAUUAAGAAAGCACUGAUUGUUAAACUACGACGUGGCAAACAAGGUUUUCAGGGACAGUCCAGUUCACAAGCACAGCAAGUCAUCAAAAGGAACUUAAGAUCAAGAUCCAAAGGAGCCUACAUUUGUACCUACUGUGGGAAAGCUUAUCGUUUUCUCUCCCAAUUUAAACAGCACAUAAAAAUGCAUCCAGGGGAAAAACCAAUUGGAGGAAAUAAGGUUUCUAAGCAAAAAGAGCACAUUCAUAUUGCAAGUCCAGUUGAAAACAAAGAGGUCUAUCAGUGCCGUCUUUGUAAUGCUAAGCUCUCCUCUCUUAUUGAACAGGGAAAUCAUGAGCGACUUUGUAGAAAUGCAACAGUCUGUCCUUAUUGCAGCCUUAGAUUUUCUUCUCCAGAGCUGAAGCAUGAACAUGAAAGCAAGUGUGAAUAUAAGAAGCUCACUUGUCUUGAAUGUAUGCGCACUUUUAAAUCCUCCUUUAGUAUUUGGCGUCAUCAAGUUGAAGUUCACAAUCAAAAUACCAUGGCCCCAACAGAGAAUUUUUCUUUACCUAUUCUUGAUCACAAUGGUGAAAUAACGAAUGCUUCAAGAUUGCAUUCUCAAUCAGAAUCUAAUAAAAUGAACAAUUUUGUUACUGCAAAGGAAGAUGGAGUAUUCAGUGAUUCUUCAGAACAAAUUAAUUUUGAUUCUGAAGACUCUUCAUGCCUCCCUGAAGAUCUAAGUGUUUCCAAACAGUUUAAAAUUCACGUCAAAGAAGAGCCUGCAGACGAUAUAGAGGAUGAGGUCACUGAAACCAACAGAGAAGCUAAGGAAGUAGUUUCUAAUAAAGUCACUGGCUUGUGGCCCUGUGAAAAAUGUGGAAAAAUUUUUACUGUACACAAGCAGUUGGAGCGUCACCAGGAGCUUUUGUGCUCUGUAAAACCAUUUAUUUGUCAUGUGUGCAACAAGGCCUUCCGGACCAACUUCCGUCUGUGGAGCCACUUCCAGUCUCAUAUGUCACAGGCUGCAGAGGAAUCAGUGAAUAAAGAUGCUGAGAUAUGUCCACCAGCUAACUCCCCAUCACCGCCACCUCUGCCUCCACCCCCACCUCUACCCAAAAUCCAGCCCUUAGAGCCUGAUAGUCCGACAGGUUUAUCUGAGAGCCCAACUACUACUGAGAAAUUAUUUGUUCCACAAGAAUCGGACACACUCUUUUAUCAUGCUCCACCACUUUCAGCAAUCACAUUCAAAAGACAAUAUAUGUGUAAACUUUGUCACAGGACAUUCAAGACUGCAUUUAGUCUUUGGAGCCAUGAACAGACACACAAUUAGCUAGAGAUCUUCAACAGGUAGUUUAAAAAGCUGGUUAAAUGGAGACCAUUUCCAGGAUAUUUCAGAAGUAUGCCAUAUAAACUAGAAAUCUAAGGGGACAAGAAACAUCAAAAAAGUAAAGAUGGAUUUAUGAUGCUGCUUGGAUUUGAAGAUUAAGGAGAAGAAAUCUAUGUGGACAAAAUGUGAAAGCAAGGUAUUAAAAUUGGUGCCUAAGUUUUCACCAUUGAUUCCCGUACAAAACAGCAUGAUAUUUCCUUUUUAGUUUGUUGACAGUCUGUACCUAGCCUUCUAAGAAUGAGUAUACCCUUCUAAGAGAAAAUAUGAUGACCAGUUCAGCUAUCAAAUAAUCAUAAUUUUCAACUGAAGCACUUCUUUGAUGCAUUUUUGGUAUACUAAGAUUAUAAAUAGCACACAUAUAACAACCUUGUGCUAUAUUUUGAAGAAGUCUUGAUUUUUCCCCCAAGUGUAAUAUAUAUUGUAAAAAUCAGAAAAAAGUGGAUAUAACUAGUUUCCUUUAUAAAUUUGUUAGAUUAUUUUUAAAAGUUUGUUUUAAUUUUGAGCAUGUUCUGUGCUUUUUUUAAAUUAGUUCCUGUUUGUUGUCCAAUAAAGGAAUACAGGCUCUCUAAAUAAAGUUUUAA